rnacentral:lncRNA from 1 species
CUAGUUUACCCUAACAUUUUCACUUUCACUUGGAAACCUAACGUCCUCACUCCUUACUAAUAAACUCAGAGAAGUGAGAAGUGAGAAGUGAGAACUGAGAUCAACUGUGGCCUGUGGGAGAAACUUUUUCUUGAAGAGAUCGGCUGUGGGUUGUGAGAAACGACAUCAUUUUUCAUUCUUCAUUCUUCAACUCUUCAAAUCUUCAAGACUUCAAGACUAUUAGUGUGAACUUGAAUUGAGGGGUAACCUCUCUGUUUUUGUUGUUUUUGUUGCACUAUGCGUUUAAUUGUGCUGCUAUUGUUGUCUGUUAGAGUCUGUUGCCACUGUUAAAGUUAAUUUUGCUGUCGUUAAUGUUGCUACUGUUGUAUAUAUUUUUUGCCGAAAGAUUACAUUUAACUUGGCUAUUUUCAGUGAAAAAAUGUGUAGCUUGUUAAUGCUGCUACUGUCGCAUGUUAUUGUUAGCAGCCUGUUAAAAAUUGUUAAUAAGGCUGCUACUUGGCCAUUUGCAGCAUGUUAGCUACUGAAGAAAUGGCUGUUCGAUUUAAGGUUCUUCCUGUUCUUUGAAUUGAUAUAAUAUGGUUAUAAUCUCAGAGUGAAAGUGUUAGCAAAACAGACACCC